rnacentral:lncRNA from 1 species
GUGGCACUGGGAGGAUUAUAGUGGGCUCUGACCUGUGGCCGUGCUGAACCUCAUCAGCUGGAGCCCCCUGGAGCCCAACCAAGUGGGUUUAUGGAUACUUGUUACAGCAGCCUGGAUUCCACACACUGUGGGCAGAUUCCACACACCAUGGGGAAUUGGAAGGUGGAGCACAUCACCCACGAGAAAACAAGGUGUCACUUUGUCACCCAGGAUGGAGUGCAGUGGUGCCAUCUCAGGUCACUGAAACCUCCACCUCCCGGGCUCAAGCGAUCCUCCCUCCUCAACCUCCUCAGUAACUGGGAUUACAGGUGUGUACCAUCAAACCCAGCUAAUUUUUGUAUUUUUGGUAGAAAUAGGGUCUCACUAUGCUGGUCUUGAACUCCUGGGCUCAAGCUAUCCUCCUGCCUCUGCCUCCCAAAGUGCUGGGAUUAUGGGAGUGAGCCACCGUGCCCGGCCCUAUUCCAGUGCUUUUUAUUAGGAGGUAGGAGAACAGAGAAGGCUCAAGUUGUAGUUGGUAAAGAAGCAGCAGUUACUCUGGUUAGCCAGGAGAGGGUUCUCUUCAGAAGGGGCUGAGGAGGAUGGAAAAUGAAGACUCUCCCAAAGGGUGGAACCAAGAGCUGUGGAGGACAAGGACACCAGAGCCACUCCCAGUGAACAGAACCACAGCCUAAUCAAGGAACAGACUCUAUCACAAAAUCAAGAGGAGCUGGAUCAAGCCUCAGGUAGAACAUGAGGUGCUGGACUUUAAGAAUGAUGACAGGAUGGAAUAUGGACUUUGGAGCUGGGCAGCCCUUUUGUGACCAUGAGGCAACAUUGAAGAUGCAAGCCACAUGCUAAGACAGAAGAAAAUAAAGACAGAACUAAGCUGGGGCAUGUAUGACAUUUCAAGCUCUCAGAUCAGCCCUUGAUGGCCACCAUCCAUAUUUAUUGACAUGAAAAGAAGUCCUCAUUUUGUCAAAGCCAAUGAUAUUCAGGACUGUUAUUAAUAACAAAAUACAAUUCUUCCCUCUACCCACUACAGUGUAUCAUGAAACUCUUCAAACAUAUAGGAAAGUUGAGUAUGGAAUCUCUAUCUCCAGCCUUGAGGUCUCACCUGGACUCUUGGUUAUUCAAUGGACUACUCUGCAUCUCCAUGUGCAUCUCUAAUAUAGACUCCUCAACCUUAAUGUAUCCACAACUGAACCUUUGGUUCUGUACCACUCCCGUCUUGCUCCUUGUCUCUCCGUUUCCCCAUCUCAGAAAUUAACAACUUCAUCUUUCCAGUUACUUUUCCUUCCUUCCUUCCUUCCUUCCUUUCCUUCCUUCCUUCUCUCUCUUUUCUUUUUUGAGAGUCUCACUCUGCCACUCAGGCUAGAGUGCAGUGGUGCACUGCAACCUCCACCUUCUGGGUUUUAGUACAGACAGGGUUUUACCAUGUUGGCCAGGCUGUUCACGAACUCCUCACCUUAAGUGAUCCACCUGCCUUGGCCUCCCAAAGUGCUGGGAUGACGGGCGUGAGCCACCGUGCCCGGCCCAUCUUUCCAGUUUCUUGGGACAAAAACCAAAGAUCUACUUUUCUCCUUUGCCAUAUGAGGACACAUUUAAAAGGCUGUGAACAAGGAUGCAGGCUCUUACCAGUUACCAAACUGCUGGUGCCUUGGUCUUACAUUUCCCAGCCCCCAGAGUGCAAGAAAAAAAAUUUUGGUUGUUUAUAAACGACUCAGUCUUGGUAUAUUUGUCAUAGCUGUCUGGGCAGACUAAAACAUGCACAUAAACAACCCUGUUUUCUGCCUUAACAAAUCAGGUAUUUAAAUAUAUGUUCCUGAUUCUUCCCAUAAUGUGUCAUUUGUAAUUUCAGUAAUAUAAUUUCAGACUGUUUAAAAAGCUUUUUGUUCAACCCAGUUUUACAACUGGAUUACUGAGUUGUCUAAAAUCCAAAACACUAUCAUUUAAGCCAGCAUUUUAGAUGCCUGAUCGUUUCAGUCAGGGUUCUCCAGAGAGACAGAACCAAUAGGGGAUACAGACAUGAGAGGGCAUUUAUUAAGGGAAUUGACUCAUGCAAUUAUGUAGCCUGAGAAAUCCCAUGACGGGCCAUCUGCAAGCUGGAGACCCUGAGAUUCUGGCAGCAUGGCUCAGUCAAAGUGUGACAGCCUCAGAACCAAGCUGAUGGCGUAACUCAGUCCAAAGACCCAAGGCCUGAGAACCUCAGGGCCACUGGUAUAAGUCCCAAAGACCAAAGGCCGGAGAGCCUGGAGUUGUGAUAUUGAAGAGCAAGAGAAGAGUGUUCCAGAGAGACAGAGAGAGAGAGAGAAUUCACCUUUCCUCUGCCUUUUGCUCUGUUGGGCUCACAGCUGAUUGGAAGGUGCCCAAAGAUAUUGAUGGCAGAUCUCUUCCACUCAGUCCACUGACUCACAUACCAGUCUCCCCUGGAAACACCCUCAGAGACACAUCCAGAAAUAAUGCUCCAUCAGUUGUCUAGGUAUUCCUUAACCCAAUCAAGUUGACACCUAAAAUUAACCAUCACAUUGAUUUACUUCCCGAAUCCUCUAUCCCAACUCUCAAAUAUGGUUUCAGGAUUCCUG